rnacentral:lncRNA from 1 species
UUCACAAAAAAAGGGGUUGCCACAUAGCACCUUUAUUUUCUAGUAAGGAGUGGAACAUUUUCUCCCAUCUUUCAAGGUUCCUCAGUUAUGCAUACCCAAGAGCACAGCUAUACAAAAUAAAUAGAGUUAGUCGACAAAUGACCUCUCAAACAGGAGACAAACAUCGCAGUGUUUCUAUAGUUUCAAGAUAUAUGAAUUGUGUGUUCGCUAAAUAUUUGCUCCAAAGCUAUAGUUAAUCACAAGACAAGAUAUUUGUCAGUGUUUUGAAAAGUCUUGUGGUAGAGCAUUUCUACACAGACAUGAUUAUUUGAUUGCUGGUACAGUAUUACUACACAGUUCACGUCACCAUAUUCCCUACAUAGUGCACUACUUUUGACCAGAGGCCUACUAUAUAGGGAAUAGGUAGGGUGCAAUUUAAGAUGAAACCAAUGAGAUUAUUUGAUUUCUGUUCUAUCCUGUAGUUUCACUGGGUUGGUGCUAACCAGAGGCUAACUUCUGUGUUAACUACAGUCAACAAUAGAUAACAUAAAAUACUUAAAAGGAAAGAAAUAUAAAAGAGCAAAUUGCAUGGUUGUGUUGGCUAAAUACACAUAUAGUGCUUAAUCUGAACUACAAAACUGGACAAAAGCCCGAAUAGAACGCAAAUUAAUUCAGACCAGGGUUCUCCAACUCUGCUCCUGAAGAGCUACCCUCCGAUAGUUAAAACGGGUUUGUGGGAACCUAACUGGAUUCCCCUUAUCAACCAGAUAAUUAUUAGGAUCACGUGUACUAGAUUAGGGUUGCAGAGAAACCUACUGGACAGUAGCUCUCCAGGAACAGGGUUGCAGAGAAACCCACUGGAGAGUAGCUCUCCAGGAACAGGGUUGCAGAGAAACCUACUGGAGAGUAGCUCUCCAGGAACAGGGUUGGAGAGAAACCCACUGGAGAGUAGCUCUCCAGGAACAGGGUUGGAGAGAAACCCACUGGAGAGUAGCUCUCCAGGAACAGGGUUGGAGAGAAACCCACUGGAGAGUAGCACUCCAGGAACAGGGUUGGAGAGAUACCCAGUGGACAGUAGCUCUUCAGGAACAGGGUUGGAGAGAAACCCGCUGGACAGUAGCUCUCCAGGAACAGGGUUGGAGAGAAACCCACUGGACAGUAGCUCUCCAGGAACAGGGUUGGAGAGAAGCCCAGUGGACAGUAGCUCUCCAGGAACAGGGUUGGAGAGAAACCCACUGGACAGUAGCUCUUCAGGAACAGGGUUGGAGAGAAACCCACUGGAGAGUAGCACUCCAGGAACAGGGUUGGAGAGAUACCCAGUGGACAGUAGCUCUCCGGGAACAGGGUUGGAGAGAAACCCAGUGGACAGUAGCUCUCCGGGAACAGGGUUGGAUAGAAACCCAGUGGAGAGUAGCUCUCCAGGAACAGGGUUGGAGAGAAACCCAGUGGACAGUAGCUCUCCAGGAACAGGGUUGGAGAGAAACCCACUGGACAGUAGCUCUCCAGGAACAGGGUUGGAGAGAAGCCCAGUGGACAGUAGCUCUCCAGGAACAGGGUUGGAGAGAAACCCAGUGGACAGUAGCUCUUCAGGAACAGGGUUGGAGAGAAACCUACUGGAGAGUAGCUCUUCAGGAACAGGGUUGAAGAGAAACCCACUGGACAGUAGCUCUCCAGGAACAGAGUUGGAGAGAAACCCAGUGGACAGUAGCUCUUCAGGAACAGGGUUGGAGAGAAACCCACUGGACAGUAGCUCUCCAGGAACAGAGUUGGAGAGAAACCCAGUGGACAGUAGCUCUCCAGGAACAGAGUUGGAGAGAAACCCAGUGGACAGUAGCUCUCCGGGAACAGGGUUGGAUAGAAACCCAGUGGACAGUAACUCUCCAGGAACAGGGUUGGAGAGCCCUGAUUUAGACUACAUCAUCAAUACAUUCAUGAUUGUCCUGCAUCUCCCUCUAGUAAGAUAACUCAUGCAGUUGUAUUCACCAGGACAUUCAAGAUCAGUUGCAGAAAAAAAAACACAUGCAUAAGAUGUCUGAAAACAGGCAAAUCAUACCACAAGCCAAACGUCACAAGCGUGCACUUGUAUCUGGUAGACUCGAGUACGUAGUAGAAAAAAACUAAAUGUAGGUAUUUAUAGUUAACUAUGUUUGACAUUUUGUAUUAUUUUGACUAUUCUAUGACGUACGGAUUGCAGUUGCAAGAUUGCAUAACAACACACACUUUGGAGUCUUUAUAUUUAGGGCCGUAAUGACCCUUUCUAAAAGAUGGUAGCAUAUAAUGAGAUGUACAGGGUUUCCAAGCAGCAGUCACGUGAUGAAAACACAUUUACAGGUGCCUUACAUACUAACGUUUGGUUCAAGGAUGGAAAACUCAGGCCUCAUACUUGGGGUCUGACAAGGAAAACCUCCAGACCUAAGUCAAAGGUUAUAUGGAGUUAGGCUUCUGGGGAUUUUAUUUGUCAGGAGUAAGCCCUAACCCUACACAUAGGCCUAGCCAGGGAUCUGCUAUGCUUUAAGGGAUGGCACAGAAAAAUACCUUUAUCACACACAACCUUGGACAAAAUCCUUUCACAUUGAUAGCUGCCCUUUCUUAUUCAACUGCGAGCCAAAAGCAAGAGCAUUAUUGAACAGACUGCAGUAGUGCCAUUAAGAAUGAGAAAAUACAUGUAUGGCUUUAUUCAUGUACAGUUUAAAACAACCCCCUUUUUUUCCUGUUCAUUCCAGCCUGUUACGUCGUCUGAGCCCAGUUGUAGGCAUUUCUUCUGGAAUGCUCUGGGCAAGGCCCAUGUCCUCAAUGUUUGUCUCACAAGAAUCGUCCAAGGAGGGCAUGUCCUCCUCAGCAUCGGUCGCUGAGUACUCAUCCUUGGAUUCAGGGUGCUGCUGGUGGUGGACUGGCUCCUCCUCUUUCACGACACCACUUUGAUCGUCUUCCGCAGGAGCGACCACCUCUGGCGAGGUGUCGCUGUGGGCUGCCAGAGACUCGAUGAGGUCAUCCAGGUUCCUCUCGCACUGCGGCUCUGAAAGACAGAAAAGGGAAAAGUUGCGACCGUGCGCCACAGUCACCGCAAAUAGACACCCCAUUUCAGGAUGGUGUGUUUGAGUCAUGAUGUCAAUACUGCUCAUGUGGAUCAUGUAUGAUGGGGUGUGUGACUGGCUGCCCAGCUCAUUUAGCCCCCCCAAAAAUGUGUUUGUUCACUGUAAAAAAAAUAGUCAGAAAGUUACUUUUUGGAGCUGAAUGCCAAACCAUUCAGGAG